GAUGAACGCUAGCUACAGGCUUAACACAUGCAAGAUACCGAGUGGCGGACGGGUGAGUAACGCGUGGGUAACCUGCCUCAUACAGGGGGAUAACAGUUAGAAAUGACUGCUAAUACCGCAUAAGCGCACAGGGUCACAUGACCUGGUGUGAAAAACUCCGGUGGUAUGAGAUGGACCCGCGUCUGAUUAGCUAGUUGGCGAGGUAACGGCCCACCAAGGCGACGAUCAGUAGCCGACCUGAGAGGGUGAUCGGCCACAUUGGGACUGAGACACGGCCCAAACUCCUACGGGAGGCAGCAGUGGGGAAUAUUGCACAAUGGGGGAAACCCUGAUGCAGCGACGCCGCGUGAAGGAAGAAGUAUUUCGGUAUGUAAACUUCUAUCAGCAGGGAAGAAAAUGACGGUACCUGACUAAGAAGCCCCGGCUAACUACGUG
rnacentral:rRNA from 1 species